rnacentral:rRNA from 1 species
GUGCUAAGGUAGCAUAAUCAUUUGCUACUUAAUUGGUAGCUGGAAUGAAAGGUUAAACUAGCUUAUUCAGUUUGUUGUGUUUUGUAAGAAAUUAAAGUCGAGGUAAGAAUUCUUUGAUCUGCUAGGGGACGAUAAGACCCUAGAAGCUUAACAAUAAGAGUAUUUAUUAGUUAUAAAAAUUAAUUUGUUUUACUGGGGCGGUAAAGGUAUAUUAACUAUUAGUGUAUUGAUAGAUCCUUAAAAUAAAGAUAAAACGGGAAAGUUACUCUAGGGGUAACAGUGCAAUAUUUUUAGAGAGAUCAUAUCGAUAAAAAUGUUUGCAACCUCGAUGUUGAAUUAAGAUGUCUACGUGAAGCAGCAGGUACGUGAGAGGGUUUGUUCAACCUUUAAAUUUUUACAUGAUCUGAGUUCAAACCG